AUUGAACGCUGGCGGCAGGCCUAACACAUGCAAGUCGAACGAGCGGCGGACGGGUGAGUAAUGUCUGGGAAACUGCCUGAUGGAGGGGGAUAACUACUGGAAACGGUAGCUACUACCGCAUACCAUCAGAUGUGCCCAGAUGGGAUUAGCUAGUAGGUGGGGUAAUGGCUCACCUAGGCGACGAUCCCUAGCUGGUCUGAGAGGGUGACCAGCCACACUGGAACUGAGACACGGUCCAGACUACUACGUGAGGCAGAAGUGGGGAAUAGUGAACAAUGGGCGCAAGCCUGAUGCAGCCAUGCCGCGUGUGUGAAGAAGGCCUUCUGUUUGUAAAGCACUUUCAGCGAGGAGGCGUGACUCGCAGAAGAAGCACCGGCGAACUCCGUGCCAGCAGCCGCGGUAAUAC
rnacentral:rRNA from 1 species